rnacentral:rRNA from 1 species
GAAUUUUCCGCAAUGGGCGAAAGCCUGACGGAGCAACGCCGCGUGAGGGAUGAAGGCCUCUGGGCUGUAAACCUCUUUUCUCAAGGAAGAAGACCUGACGGUACUUGAGGAAUAAGCCACGGCUAAUUCCGUGCCAGCAGCCGCGGUAAUACGGGAGUGGCAAGCGUUAUCCGGAAUUAUUGGGCGUAAAGCGUCCGCAGGCGGCCUUGUAAGUCUGUUGUUAAAGCGUGGAGCUCAACUCCAUUUGAGCAAUGGAAACUACAAGGCUUGAGUGUGGUAGGGGCAGAGGGAAUUCCCGGUGUAGCGGUGAAAUGCGUAGAUAUCGGGAAGAACACCAGUGGCGAAGGCGCUCUGCUGGGCCAUAACUGACGCUCAUGGACGAAAGCCAGGGGAGCGAAAGGGAUUAGAUACCCCUGUAGUC